GUGACGUGCAACGAACAUACAUAUUACAGGCCAAAGAUCUCACACUACAGAAUGGAUGUAUUUUAUGUGACAAGAGAGUUAUGGACCAUAAUAGGUUACGUCAAGCCAUGUUAAAACUCCAUCAUGAAGAUCACCCUGACAUUGUCAGAAUAAAACAUAAGGCUAUGGGUCAUGUUUGGCGGCUGUCCUUUUAUAAAGACAUUGAGGACUACGUGCUGUACAACCAUGGGACCGCUAGGUGCUGUACAACCAUGGGAUUUGCCUAAUACAUCUGUGGAGAGACUACAUUUGGACUUUCC